rnacentral:lncRNA from 1 species
AUACCUUCUGGCCUCCAAGGGUGUCAGGUAUGCAUAUGGUACACAGACAUACAUGCAGUAAAAUACCUGUAGGCAUAAAAUAAAAACAAUGAAAUUUUAAAAAAUUAAGUGACGUGGCCACUCUGACAGAUUUUAGUACUUCUUCACUUAAAUGGUAGGGACUUAGAAACGGUUUUCUUUUCAACAGCUUAGUGACCCUUCCAGAAGUGUCAUCUGAAACAGCAGCUUAUGAAGGCUGGGAACAGGAGAGGGACAUUCCCCAUGUCACAACCAUAUCUGCCCUCUGAAGCAGGAAUUGCAAUCCCUUUUAAGGAUUGGCUGUCACAGUUGUGGUUGAGAAAGAGAAGAUGCGUGCUAUGGUUUGACUGAGUCCAUAAAAUUCAUAUGCCAGUGCUACUUGAAGGUGGGCAAGAAGGACUGACUCUAGCACACCUUGAGCGAUGAUGCUGGCUCCCCAGGAUCCCCACCAUUUCAGAGCCACCUCCUUCUGCCAUCUCAGACAUCUCAAGGUGUAAAGUUUUCUUCAGGAGUAAAUAGCUGGGUCUCAGAGGCUGUCUGAGGCCAGGAACUUCCCUCUGGAAGGGGCUGGCUGCUUUCACCUCCACACAGAAGCAAUCUGAACCAGUGUGGAACCACUAUGAGAGGUUACUGCCUGACUGAACCCAGAGCCCAGAUUAAAGGGUGGCUUUUUAGAAAAGGAGCAGGGUCAGGCCUUAGCAGCAUGUUCAAAAGUGUCCUCAAGCUGAGAAAGCCAGGAACAUUUUGAGCAGCUUUCAAUUAAUGGUGUUCUUCUUUUACCUUCAAGAAGC